UACGUAGGGUGCGAGCGUUGUCCGGAAUUAUUGGGCGUAAAGGGCUCGUAGGCGGUUUGUCGCGUCGGGAGUGAAAUCCACUGGCUUAACUGGUGGCUUGCUUUCGAUACGGGCAGACUGGAGGUAUGCAGGGGAGAGUGGAAUUCCUGGUGUAGCGGUGAAAUGCGCAGAUAUCAGGAAGAACACCCGUGGCGAAGGCGGCUCUCUGGGACGGUACUGACGCUGAGACGCGAAAGCGUGGGGAGCGAACAGG
rnacentral:rRNA from 1 species